rnacentral:rRNA from 1 species
ACGGAGGGUGCAAGCGUUGUCCGGAUUUAUUGGGUUUAAAGGGUACGUAGGCUGAUCUAUAAGUCAGUGGUGAAAUCUAGCGGCUUAACCGUUAACGUGCCAUUGAUACUGUAGGUCUUGAGUCCAACUGAGGUGGUUGGAAUGGGUAGUGUAGCGGUGAAAUGCAUAGAUAUUACCCAGAACACCGAUUGCGAAGGCAGAUCACUAAGUUGGAACUGACGCUGAGGUACGAAAGCGUGGGGAGCGAACAGG